rnacentral:rRNA from 1 species
UACGUAGGGUGCAAGCGUUGUCCGGAAUUACUGGGCGUAAAGCGCGCGUAGGCGGACCUGCAAGUCGGGGGUGAAAGCCCGAGGCUCAACCUCGGAACUGCCUUCGAUACUGCGGGUCUCGAGUCCGGGAGAGGUGAGUGGAAUUCCUAGUGUAGAGGUGAAAUUCGUAGAUAUUCGCAAGAACACCAGUGGCGAAGGCGGCUCACUGGCCCGAUACUGACGCUGAGGCACGAAAGCGUGGGGAGCAAACAGG